GGUUGAUAGGCCGGAUAUGGAAGCACGGUAACGUGUGGAGUUGACCGGUACUAAUAGGCCGAGGGCUUGUCCUCAGUUG
rnacentral:rRNA from 2 species